rnacentral:rRNA from 1 species
GGCGCACGGGUGCGUAACGCGUAUGCAACCUACCUUCUACAGGGGGAUAGUCAAUAGAAAUGUUGAAUAAUACCCCAUACGAUCAUGAAUUGGCAUCAAUUUAUGAGGAAAGUUCCGGCGGUAGAAGAUGGGCAUGCGUCCUAUUAGUUAGUUGGUGAGGUAACGGCUCACCAAGACAUCGAUAGGUAGGGGUCCUGAGAGGGAGAUCCCCCACACUGGUACUGAGACACGGACCAGACUCCUACGGGAGGCAGCAGUGAGGAAUAUUGGACAAUGGAGGCAACUCUGAUCCAGCCAUGCCGCGUGCAGGAAGACGGCCCUAUGGGUUGUAAACUGCUUUUAUACAGGAAGAAACGCCUCCUCGUGAGGGGGUUUGACGGUACUGUACGAAUAAGGAUCGGCUAACUCCGUGCCAGCAGCCGCGGUAAUACGGAGGAUCCAAGCGUUAUCCGGAAUCAUUGGGUUUAAAGGGUCCGUAGGCGGUUUAAUAAGUCAGAGGUGAAAUCCUACAGCUCAACUGUAGAAUUGCCUUUGAUACUGUUAGACUUGAGUUAUUGUGAAGUAGUUAGAAUGUGUAGUAUAGCGGUGAAAUGCAUAGAUAUUACACAGAAUACCGAUUGCGAAGGCAGAUUACUAACAAUAUACUGACGCUGAGGGACGAAAGCGUGGGUAGCGAACAGGAUUAGAUACCCUGGUAGUCCACGCCGU